UACAGAGGUCUCAAGCGUUGUUCGGAUUCAUUGGGCGUAAAGGGUGCGUAGGUGGCAUGGUCAGUCGGAUGUGAAAUCCCGGGGCUCAACCCCGGAACUGCAUUCGAUACUGCCGCGCUAGAGUACUGGAGAGGAGAUUGGAAUUUACGGUGUAGCAGUGAAAUGCGUAGAUAUCAGGAGGAACACCGGUGGCGAAGGCGGUCUCUGGGCAUUACCUGACGCUGAGGAGCGAAAGCGUGGGGAGCGAACAGG
rnacentral:rRNA from 1 species